rnacentral:rRNA from 1 species
CACGUAGGGUGCGAGCGUUGUCCGGAAUUAUUGGGCGUAAAGAGCGUGUAGGCGGUCCGGUAAGUCAGCUGUGAAAGUCAAGGGCUCAACCCUUGAAUGCCGGUUGAUACUGUCGGGCUAGAGUCCGGAAGAGGCGAGUGGAAUUCCUGGUGUAGCGGUGGAAUGCGCAGAUAUCAGGAGGAACACCGAUGGCGAAGGCAGCUCGCUGGGACGGUACUGACGCUGAGGCGCGAAAGCGUGGGGAGCGAACAGG